GAUGUGGUGGCGCAGUGGUUAAGUGUGUUUGACUUGGGAUCGAAAGGUUCUGAGUUUGAGUCCUUACCACGGCCGUAGCA